rnacentral:rRNA from 1 species
CCUGCCAGUGGUCAUAUGCUUGUUUCAAAGACUAAGCCAUGCAUGUCUAAGCACAGCUUGUAAAAGUGAAGCCGCGAAUAGCUCAUUACAACAGCCGUUGUUUAUUGGAUCUCCAUUCUCUACUUGGAAUAACUGUGGUAAUUCUAGAGCUAAUACAUGCGACCAAGGCCUGAACUUACGUGAUGGCUGCAUUUAUUAGAACAAGACCAACCGGCUUCGGCCGUUCUCUGGUGACUCUGAAUAACUGAGUGAAUCACAUGGUCUAGUACCGGUGAUGUAUCUUUCAAGUGUCUGCCUUAUCAACUUUCGAUGGUAGUUUAUGUGCCUACCAUGGUUGUAACGGGUAACGGAGAAUAAGGGUUUGACUCCGGAGAGGGAGCCUGAGAAACGGCUACCACUUCUAAGGAAGGCAGCAGGCGCGCAAAUUACCCAUUCUCGGCACGAGGAGGUAGUGACGAAAAAUACCAAGCUGGGAUCCAUUGGGUUCCGGCAUUGGAAUGAGAACAAUCUAAAUCUUUUAACGAGGAUCUAGUGGAGGGCAAGUCUGGUGCCAGCAGCCGCGGUAAUUCCAGCUCCGCAAGUGUAUAUCUAUGUUGCUGCGGUUAAAAAGCUCGUAGUUGGAUCUGCGUGUUUAGCGUCCGGUUCAACUUUUGGUUGUUACUGGAACGCGACACAGAUGUGCUGGUUUGCUGUUGAUGCUCUUAACCGGGUGUCAGUGGUGGCUAGCGAGUUUACUUUGAAAAAAUUAGAGUGCUCAAAACAGGCGUUUCGCCUGAAUAUUUCUGCAUGGAAUAAUAGAAUAGGACUUCGAUUCUAUUCUGUUGGUUUUCGGAAUGCGAAGUAAUGAUUAAGAGGGACAGACGGGGGCAUUCGUACUGCGACGUUAGAGGUGAAAUUCUUGGAUCGUCGCAAGACGUACUACUGCGAAGGCAUUUGCCAAGAAUGUUUUCAUUAAUCAAGAACGAAAGUUAGAGGUUCGAAGGCGAUCAGAUACCGCCCUAGUUCUAACCGUAAACGAUGCCAACUAGCGAUCCGUCGGUGUUAUUCAAAUUGACUCGACGGGCAGCUUUCCGGAAACGAAAGUUUUUCGGUUCCGGGGGAAGUAUGGUUGCAAAGCUGAAACUUAAAGGAAUUGACGGAAGGGCACCACCAGGAGUGGAGCCUGCGGCUUAAUUUGAC